rnacentral:rRNA from 1 species
UGGGGAAUUUUACGCAAUGGGGGAAACCCUGACGUAGCGACACCGCGUGAGCGAAGAAGCCUUUUGGGGUGUAAAGCUCUGUCAGCUGGAACGAACACAAUGACGGUACCAGCAGAGGAAGCAUCGGCUAACUACGUGCCAGCAGCCGCGGUAAGACGUAGGAUGCAAGCGUUGUCCGGAUUCAUUGGGCGUAAAGAGUUCGUAGGUGGUCUGUUAAGUUUGGUGUUAAAGAGCGGGGCCCAACCCCGAUAGUGCACUGAAUACUGGCAGACUUGAGUGCGGUAGAGGUGAGUGCAAUUCCAAGUGUGGCGGUGAAAUGCAUAGAUAUUUGGAAGAACACCGGUGGCGUAAGCGACUUACUGGGCCGUAACUGACACUGAGGAACGAAAGCCGGGGUAGCGAAUG